rnacentral:rRNA from 1 species
CGUAGGUGGCGAGCGUUUGUCCGGAAUUAUUGGGCGUAAAGGGAGCGCAGGCGGGAGGUCAAGUCUAUCUUAAAAGUGCGGGGCUCAACCCCGUGAGGGGAUGGAAACUGGUCUUCUUGAGUGCAGGAGAGGAAAGCGGAAUUCCUAGUGUAGCGGUGAAAUGCGUAGAUAUUAGGAGGAACACCAGUGGCGAAGGCGGCUUUCUGGACUGUAACUGACGCUGAGGCUCGAAAGCGUUGGGGAGCGA